ACUCAGUCUCCAAGUGUGGAAAAGGAAGUGAAGAGACUGCUAUGCUCAGAUGCUGAAGCUGUCAGUGUCCGCUGGGAAGUUGUUGCUGAUGAUGAUACUAAGGAAAUAGAAAGUCAAGGGUGCAUCUCAACUACUUCAGGAACCCCACAGAUGGGUGGUGCUGGUUCAUCAGAAUAUGAUGUGCUUCGGGAGAUGAUGGGCGAGACUGGCAGCAAUAGUAAUGAUGUGGAAGAUAAGAAUAGCAAAAUUGAGGAUGAGGAUGAGGAUGAUCAAGAGGAUGAAGAUGAAGAUGAUGGAAAUGAAGAAAAAGAGGAGGAGACAGACAAUUCUGAAGAAGAGUUAGAAAAGGAGCUGCAAGCCAAAUUUAUUCAAUCUAGCCUCCAUGAAAAAGAACAAGAUUACACUUCAAUAAUCAUGGAAAUUCAGAAACUGAUUCAUAUCAAAGAACAAAAGCUCCAGCAAAUUUAUAAAAAAGCCCAGCGACAGAAGGAUCUCCUUCGGAAUGUGGAAAACUUGACCCUCAAGAGACAUUUCCAGAAUGUUUUGGAGAAGCUUAACAUACUGGAAAAAGAGAAGUGUGAGCAGAUUUAUCACCUACAGGAACAACUGAAAUGUUUCCUGAAGGAGUAAGGAAAGCCUCAGCCUAGCACACAAAGUGGAUUAACUUUCCAGAUGAAGACUCAGGGGGACCACAUACUUCUGUCCCUCUAGUUACUUUGUUGGGUAUUUUUUUCUAGUUAGAGUAAAUUUGAGGAUCAUAGUUAUAUAGAAGGAGACAUAUAUAGAAGGAGUUACAUAAAUGCAUAAUAAGUUUAGAAACCCCACUAAAUAGGGGAUUUUGUUUCUUUUUGUCAAUUUGGGAUUAUAUGUAUGCAUUUCUUUAUCUUUUACUCUAUGGUACCAUGAGAUCAUCCAGCCAUCUUUGUCAAAGAUCCAUAGGUGUUUUACGUAAGUUAGCUUUUCAAACACUGUUUUAAGUAUUUCCUACUGUAUUGAAAAUAAUCAAUUUGUCAGCAGAAGCAGAAGGUCAAAUUGAAGGCCAGGCUGGCCUUUAUUGUAAGACCCUUUCUCAAAAUAAAAUUAAAUUAAAACAUGAAAA
rnacentral:lncRNA from 1 species